rnacentral:misc_RNA from 1 species
AAGUCGUAACAAGGUUUCCGUAGGUGAACCUGCGGAAGGAUCAUUAUUGAAUAAACCUGAUGAGUUGUCGCUGGCCUUCUGGCAUGUGCACGCUUGUCAUCUUUAUAUCUCCACCUGUGCACCUCCUGUAGAUCUGGAUAACUUUCCGAGGCAACUCGGGUCAUUGGGGAUUGUCGCUGCUAACGCUCGGCUUUCGUCACAUUUCCAGGUCUAUGUUUUUAACAUACUCCAUUGAAUGUAUUAGAAUGUCAUUGUAUGGCCUUUGUGCCUAUAAACUUUAUACAACUUUCAGCAACGGAUCUCUUGGCUCUC